CGUUUGCAAACAAACCAAAGAGGAGCAGAAAGUUUUCAGACUCAGAGGCGACAUCCCAACAGCUUGGCUUGAAGGAGUACUUUAGGACUCAGAACAACAGGAUGAAGACAGCAGCUAAAAUAGAACACACCAGCAGAGACGUUCAGCUCCUUGAGCUGUGCUUCCGAAGCUCAAGCAUGGCAGAGUGGCCUUGUUAAAUCAGAGUUCAGGGUGCCACCCUGACAGUUUCUGAUUCCGUAGGUGCCCAGUAGGGACCAAGAAUCCUUUUUUUUUUUCCUUUUUCUUUUUAAUAGAGUCAGGGUCUUGCUAUGUUGCCCACAUGGGUCUCAAAUUCAAGCGAUCCUCCCACCUCGACCUCCCAAAGCACUGGAAUUCCAGGCAUAAGCCACCGUGCCUGGCCAAGAACGUUUUUUUUUUUAACAAGUUUCUAAAUGAUGCUGGUCUAUUGGUCCUGGGACCACACUUUGAAAUUGGUGGGAUAGGAGGCUGGGAUCUUUAUCCAUUCACUCAACUCCCAUUCCCCAUGGUUGAAAGUUUCCCUGGGGCAUCCCUGGGAGGCCUGGGGGCUGACAAGAUUCAAACGUUUUGGUGAAAAGCCCCAAGACAGUGAAGUGGGGUGUGCUUGAAGUGGGGCACCGUCAUCACCCACCUACCCACCACAGAGGUGAGCUAAAAGGUAACAUGUACCACCCUUGAAUACAGUGUUGCUCCCUGUCAUGACUCACGGACAGGUUACCAGACCGGAGCCUCCAGCAAUCCAGGAGCACAAACAAGGAUGCCUUAAAACAAAACUUGUGUCAGGGUACCCUUCGCUGCCUCAGAGGAAAUCAGAAUGACCUGGUGGACAACUGUUCAUAAGGACAAGAGCCAGUAUCACUGCCUUUGAGUCCCAGCCUCCUCAAAUCCAUUUUCUGCCCUGCACCACCUCAUCAUAUCCCGGAUAUUGUUAGUGUCGUGUCAUUUCAUGACUCAGGAGCUGCGGGUGACUUUGGCUGCCCUGACAUUUGUUAAAUUGGCUCCUGGGUCCUGGUUUGCAAAUGUUGCCACUUUGAGAUCCGUAGAUGGUCAUCCCUGGCUCCCUUGGGGAGUGUCCUGGAAUCCACCAGCUCCAUCUGCUCGACAAGAGACUUGAGUUUGUUCUGUUACCUCUUUCAUCAUUAGCCAAAGCUCCGGGACUUGGUUAAAACUUUAGGCAAUUAAAAAGACUGACUUAUGGAGAUAGUAGUGUUUUCACUAUAUCGUCCCUGCUUGAAUUUAUGUUCUUGAAUUCCAUUAACCUGAAAUAUAUCAAAAUACCAAGAUGUUAUGAAGAAUGGGAACAAAUAUAGAAAAGUGAAAA
rnacentral:lncRNA from 1 species